GACAGAUGUCAAGAAAGGCAACAGAAAAGGUUGAAGAAGAUGUGUCUGCCUGCAAAGAUAGAUCAGAGGGAAAUUUCUAUUUCAUUUUGAGUUAGAUUUCCAAGACUUAUGGGAUAGAAUAGUGAUCAUAUAUAAUGUAGAUGAAAAAAGUAGAAUAUUACUCUUAAUUAAUAGGUUAAAAGAGAUGACCAAAAGGUCUAACAAUUUGGGAUAGUUUUAUUGAAUACUUUCCAGAUGAGAGUUAAAGCUAAUGGCAAAUGAUUACCUUCUUUUGGAAUCAUCCAGGAUGAUUAAUCAUCCAAAAACAUGGUUUUCAAACACCAAUGAGUCUCAUAACCACCUGGGUAAUUUGAUAUGCUUGCAAAGUCUCAGGUUUUAUCCUACUUCCAUGAGCCUCUGUGUUCUUUAACAGUUCUCUAGGUGAUUCUGACACCUAAGAAAUCGUGGAUCCUUCCAAAUCAGAAAAGUCCUGGUCCUUUUAAAUACCCAUAGACUUGGUUCUUCUAGUAAUUUCCUGGGCUUGGAGUAACAUAGCUCUCUUUUAUGCUCCCAAUAACUGUUUCUUGCUUAGUAUUAUUGAUCCAUCUUAAAAUUCCACAACUUUAAAUCUCAUAUCAUCAAAAUACAUUAUCAAUUAUCUCUACUUACUAUAGUCUUUGAAGGAUUUCACUUCUGGCACAAUUUUCAUCAUGAUUAUUGGGGAUUUUAAUGAACACAGAGAGGAUCCAUUAAUAACUUGGUGUGAUAGACUGUAUUCUCUAAAGAUAAAGACAGAAUACUAUAUUCCAUCUUCUAUGCUUUUCUGCAAUGUGAACUUGCCAUUCCACAUUUUGGGUGGAGUCUAAUUCUAUUUCUCUUGAAUCUGGAUUAAACAAAGGGGUUCCUUGAUAAAUAGAAUUCAGUGAAAGUGUCAUUCUGAGGCUUCUGAGGUUAGGUCACAAAAACCUUUGCAGCUUCCAUUUGGGUCUCUUGAAAUGCUUUAUCUUGGCAUGCUCCCUUUUGGAACCCAAAUACCAAGCUACAAGUAUUUUGACCAGAUGGAGAAGCCAUGUCUAAAUAUUCUGCUAAAGGACUUCAGUUGAGAUCUCAGUCAACAGUUCACAACAACAUGUUGGUCUUCAGAUUGAAAGGAAGUGCAUUCAAGAAUCUGUAUACAAGAAACUGAAUUGAAGGAGCCCUAUUCACACUUUGUCCUGAUUUAGAGGCUGAGGUCUUAGACUUUGAACUAGUCUUGUAGUGGGAAUGAAAUAUUGGGAUCUUAGGGAAGAGGUGAACAUAUUUUUUGUUUUGUUUUGUUAAUAUUUUUGUAUGUAAAAAAAGAUCGGCAUUAUUAUGACCUAGAGUGCAGUGUUGCAAGUGUUAUUUUCCAAAGAUAGCCAAAACAAUAUCAUGCAUCCUAUACACUUUGCAAUAUGGUCUUGCCACUUGUCUAAGAGGUGUGGUGUAAUUUUACUCCCUUCUUAUCUGGGCUGGCCUUAGUGACUUCCUUGAAAAAAAAUGUAAUCAAUAUUACAUUUCAGGAUAUUCAAGGCUGGAUUAUAAGAACCCUUACAUCUUCCUCCUUGGUGUCUCUGGAUAGAUAUUUGCAUUUUUGGAUGCUCUUCUCUACAACACAGCCACCAUACAGUGAGAAUCCCAGACCGCAUGGAGAGUUCAUGUAGUUCACAGUCUAGCUGAGCUACUAGUUAAUAGCCAGAAUUAAUUGCAUCAAUUGCUUAGAGAUAACUGCAGAUCUAUCCAAAAUCUGAUUGCAUGGGCAGCCCCGGUGGCCCAGCAGUUUAGCGCCACCUUCAGCCCAGGGUGUGAUCCUGGAGACCUGGUAUCAGUCCCUCGUCGGGCUCCCUGCAUGGAGCCUGCUUCUCCCCUCUGCAUGUGUCUCUGCCUCUCUCUCUCUCUGUGUCUCUCAUGAAUGAAUAAAUAAAAUCUUAAAAAAAAAUCUGAUUGCAGCAUCAAUCAAUGCAUCUGAUUGCAGCAUCAAUGAUUGCAUCUGAUUGAGAGAAAGAGAGAGAAGGAGAAACCCCAAGCAACAACCUGCCCAAAUGAUCUCAGGAAACCUACAGAAUCAUGAGAUAAUAAAUUGUUUGAAAUCAGUACUUAUGGGGGUAUUUUGCUAUGCAAUAAUAAAUAACUGGAACAACUAGA